AUUUAUAUAUUAUAAAAAGUAAAAUUAAUUUCCAAUUAAUUAGUCUAUAUAUUAAUAGUAUAAAUA
rnacentral:tRNA from 1 species